rnacentral:rRNA from 1 species
UACGAAGGGGGCUAGCGUUGUUCGGAAUUACUGGGCGUAAAGGGCGCGUAGGCUGUGCUGUAAGUCAGGCGUGAAAGGCCCGGGCUCAACCUGGGAAUGGCGCUUGAUACUGCGGCGCUGGAAGGUGGGAGAGGAUGGCGGAAUUCCCAGUGUAGAGGUGAAAUUCGUAGAUAUUGGGAAGAACACCGGUGGCGAAGGCGGCCAUCUGGCCCACAUUUGACGCUGAGGCGCGAAAGCGUGGGGAGCAAACAGGG